CUUUGUUGCAUUGCAUUUAAUAAAAUCAAUCAUGAAUGAACGCAUAUUAAAAAAAAAAAGAAGAAUUUACUUUAACAAAAAACCCUCUAAUUUUGCCUAGUCAACCAGCAGUCAACUGCGUCCAUCACUAGAAUCGGAAUUUUCCGACCCAGAAUCCAAACUCUGAUCCGAAUCCAAUGACACCGACCUAUCAGCCACAAUGACGAUAUUGUAAGAAAUAAUCCUCCUCCUCUGGCGCCGCCCGUCUUCACUUCCACCGUCACCAUCAUCCUCAGUACCAUCAUCCUCAGUACCAUCAUCUUCCGUAGGCAUCAUGAACCGACAAACGGGGCACGACCGAUGUAACCCUAGCCACUUCUCAAUACAACCCGAGUGAAACCCAUGUUUACACGGCAUCUCUCGAAUCACGCCGCCCACGCUCAUCUCGUCUAAACAAAUAGCGCAGUCCUUGACGCAAUCCUCCGUUACUGUUAUUCUGGGCAUGGCAUCAAUGGACGCCUUCGAUGCAGGCAAAGGUCCAGAUUUGUCGGAGACGGCGGCGGCAGGAACAUGGAUGAAGGAAAGGGAUUGGGUGGCGGCGUUGAGGACAACGACUUCUUGGUUUGUUUGUGAAGGCGGUUGUCGUUGCUCAGCCGCUUGUAGACCGAUGAUUAACAACGGCAGAUGGUCCACUCUGGCAAAGAUUUCGCCUAUGCUUGAUUCGCUACUAUCCAUGGCUAAAGCUUGAUCGAGAGAGAAAGAGAGAGAAGUUUUUUCUUGUGGAGGAGACAGAGAGUUUAUAUAAUAGGACAGAGUCGGCGGGCCUUGGAAUUUGCUGAGGCAAUCGCGUUUUGGUUUUCCCGGUGGAAACUGGAAAUUUAGCUUUGCCUUUGCCACGUCAUUCUAGGAAUAUCCAUUCA
rnacentral:misc_RNA from 1 species